AGUGAACGCUGGCGGCAUGCUUUACACAUGCAAGUCGAACGGUAACACACUUUGAGGUGCCGCCGAGGGGCGGAGGGGUGCGUACGGCAGCGGAAUGCACCCGGAGGUAGUGUUUAACGCAGCGUAAGCUGGGCUAAUAUCGCAUGAUACCUCAGAAUAACAACGGGGGAACGAGCAGGAACGUUUGGCCUCGCGCCAUUGAAUCAGCCGAUGUCGGAUUAGCUAGUUGGUGGGGUAAAGGCCCACCAAGGCGACGAUCCGUAGCUGGUCUGAGAGGAUGAUCAGCCACACUGGAACUGAGACACGGCCCAGACUCCUACGGGAGGCAGCAGUGGGGAAUAUUGGACAAUGGGCGCAAGCCUGAUCCAGCAAUGCCGCGUGCGUGAAGAAGGCCUUCGGGUUGUAAACCGCUUUUGGUAGGAAAGAAAAGCUGUAGGCUAAUACCGGGCUGUACUGACGGUACCUAAAGAAUAAGCACCGGCUAACUUCGUG
rnacentral:rRNA from 1 species